rnacentral:snoRNA from 1 species
CCCCUCUCAGGAUCGCAUCUGGAGAGUUUCCAAUACUCUACCUGUCUUAGCUAUGGGAAGGAGAGUCAAGCAGAGGCAUACCCAUUCCAUUCCUAGCUUGGGCAGUGGCUAGCUAGUGGAAGGCAAUCUGUUACAAGU